AGCGGAGGAAAAGAAACUAACAAGGAUUCCCCUAGUAGCGGCGAGCGAAGCGGGAAGAGCUCAAAUUUAUAAUCUGGCACUUUCAGUGUCCGAGUUGUAAUCUCUAGAAGUGUUUUCCGCGUUGGACCGCACACAAGUCUGUUGGAAUACAGCGGCACAGUGGUGACACCCCCGUACACGGUGCGGACGCCCAGCGCUUUGUGAUACACUUUCGAAGAGUCGAGUUGUUUGGGAAUGCAGCUCAAAUUGGGUGGUAAAUUCCAUCUAAAGCUAAAUAUUGGCGAGAGACCGAUAGCGAACAAGUACCGUGAGGGAAAGAUGAAAAGCACUUUGGAAAGAGAGUUAACAGUACGUGAAAUUGUUGGAAGGGAAACGCUUGAAGUCAGACUUGCUUGCCGGAGCUUGCUUCGGUUUGCAGGCCAGCAUCAGUUUUCCGGGGUGGAUAAUGGCGGUUAGAAGGUAGCAGCUUCAGCUGUGUUAUAGCUUUCCGCUGGAUACAUCCUGGGGGACUGAGGAACGCAGCGUGCUUUUAGCGGGGGUUUCGACCUCUUCACGCUUAGGAUGCUGGUGUAAUGGCUUUAAACGACCCGUCUUGAAACAC
rnacentral:rRNA from 1 species